rfam:Pelecanus crispus contig17745, whole genome shotgun sequence.
AUUGUGAGACCUCCGGCUACAACACAGGACAUGGGAGCUUUUCCGAACCCUCGUGUCUUGUGUUGCAGCCAGAGGGGCACA